rnacentral:rRNA from 1 species
UAGUUAAUAGCUGCAUUAUUUGACGUUAGCGACAGAAGAAGCACCGGCUAACUCCGUGCCAGCAGCCGCGGUAAUACGGAGGGUGCGAGCGUUAAUCGGAAUUACUGGGCGUAAAGCGCAUGCAGGUGGUUUGUUAAGUCAGAUGUGAAAGCCCGGGGCUCAACCUCGGAAUAGCAUUUGAAACUGGCAGACUAGAGUACUGUAGAGGGGGGUAGAAUUUCAGGUGUAGCGGUGAAAUGCGUAGAGAUCUGAAGGAAUACCGGUGGCGAAGGCGGCCCCCUGGACAGAUACUGACACUCAGAUGCGAAAGCGUGGGGAGCAAACAGGAUUAGAUACCCUGGUAGUCCACGCCGUAAACGAUGUCUACUUGGAGGUUGUGGCCUUGAGCCGUGGCUUUCGGAGCUAACGCGUUAAGUAGACCGCCUGGGGAGUACGGUCGCAAGAUUAAAACUCAAAUGAAUUGACGGGGGCCCGCACAAGCGGUGGAGCAUGUGGUUUAAUUSGAUGCAACGCGAAGAACCUUACCUACUCUUGACAUCCAGAGAACUUUCCAGAGAUGGAUUGGUGCCUUCGGGAACUCUGAGACAGGUGCUGCAUGGCUGUCGUCAGCUCGUGUUGUGAAAUGUUGGGUUAAGUCCCGCAACGAGCGCAACCCUUAUCCUUGUUUGCCAGCGAGUAAUGUCGGGAACUCCAGGGAGACUGCCGGUGAUAAACCGGAGGAAGGUGGGGACGACGUCAAGUCAUCAUGGCCCUUACGAGUAGGGCUACACACGUGCUACAAUGGCGCAUACAGAGGGCGGCCAACUUGCGAAAGUGAGCGAAUCCCAAAAAGUGCGUCGUAGUCCGGAUUGGAGUCUGCAACUCGACUCCAUGAAGUCGGAAUCGCUAGUAAUCGUGGAUCAGAAUGCCACGGUGAAUACGUUCCCGGGCCUUGUACACACCGCCCGUCACACCAUGGGAGUGGGCUGCAAAAGAAGUAGGUAGWUUAACCUUCGGGGGGACGCUUACCACUUUGUGGUUCAUGACUGGGGUGAAGUCGUAACAAGGUUAACCGUAAA